CGGGGGCGGCCCCUCACCGCCGCCCUCGCCUCAGCGCGGAGCGCCGGCUCUCCUCGCGGCAGCGCCUCGAUGCGCUGUAACCUGCCCGGCUCCGGACGAGCUUCGCUCCUGGCAGCCUUUCUGCGGAGAGGAGCGUGCCGGGUGCUCGCGAGGCGUCAGGGAGGCACCGCUGGAGUCCCGGGCGGCGGCCGCUUAACUUGGGAAACAGAAAAAUGGCAGUUUCGACGGCCUUCCACAGACGUAGAGGUCGAGGCCUGAAGCAAAACGCGGUGCGCUCGGAUUCGUUUUAAAAGGCGAAAGCGCGCUCCGAAGCCCCCGCGGGCAGAGCGGCUCCGCUCCGCUGCGCGCUCGCAGCGCGGAAGGCGCCGUCACCUCCCCGCGCUCGCGGUGCAAGCUCUGUUCAGCUGAGACCUCCGUUUUUACGGGCUUCGGGUCUGCUCCGGUGUCUUUACUGCUCUCGUCAUUGCCUGUUUUACUGGCUGUGAAAGCGACGUGGUUCGCGGCGCGGUUGAAUCUGGCGUAAACAAAAAGUUACAGCAAAGAUCAUCUUGUGAGACGUAAAUUUGAGUUAAUACUUUAGUCUUUAAUGACGUUACAAAUCAUAUAAAAUUACUUAAAGUGGAACAUUUCAAGCAUUUUCAGUUUCUUCAGAGUGUUACAAUUAAUAAUCUCAUUGGUUUAUCAUCACUUUAUUGGUUAAUAUUCCAAUUUAGGACAUUUUCUUCUUUGCAAAGCUUUGCUUGUUAAAAAAAAAAUCCAGUGCAUACCAGGUUCCUACUGAUGAUUCUCAGUACCUAUUUUUAUGUAGCAUCUUUCAUUCUGCACGCACACCUUGGGACUUGCAAAACAGCCUGUAUAACUAAAUCCUCCAAGUGCUUGGUAAGGGAGUCAGCAAUAACAUUUCUCUUUUCUGAGAGUAGUCAAAUGGCCCAGCUAAAUGUCAGAGGGAGUAAAGUGUGACUUGGGAGAGGAUUUAACAGUCGUCUCUUGUUCCUGCUUUGUUGGCUUGUUUGUUUUUUUUUUUUUAAGGUAUUAUUAUUGCAUAAGAUUCAACUCAGAAUAAUAAACAUAUCUUACAAGCAAAGCUCAUAGUCAAGAGAGAAGGUGAAGGGAGGCAUCAUAAAAGUCAGGUAUCCUUCAUUCAGAUCUAGUGAAUUCAAACUUGAGCCCUUUGCACUUGGUUAGAUUUGCGGGAUUUACGCUAGCGUGCUUGUCGCAGGUUCCUUUGGUACACUAGCAUUUUCCCAAAGCGGCUUAUGUAUGAUUCUGAGCAAGUGAUGUAGGCAUGUGAUGCAGGUGUUGCAACGAUUCUUGCUGUAGUGGUUGUUUAUCCAUUUGCCUUUUAAAGCCUUUUUGCCAUCAAAUAAUUUCAAAAACAAGUGAAUUAUGUUGAGCUUUUUACAUGUUAAAGUUGGAAGAGUGUGCAGAAAAGAUGAAAAAAAUUCUGAGAAGUUACUCUGUUUACAGUGAAACUAGUCAGAACUAAUGACUGAAAUUUUCCUUAUGUUUCAGCUGUUUGGCAGUGAUAAGGAAGGGAAGACUUCUGUCAAGCCAUUAGUAUUCUAGAAAGUGUCCUUUGGUGAAGUGUUUUAUUUUCUGAGUGUCUGCAGUACUGUGGUGAGUGAAGCAGUUCUUAUGUUAAUAUACGACUGUCAGUAAAAUUAUUUGAUGUCUUUCCAGAGGAAAAAUGAAGAAAGCAAAAUGAGUAUUAGGUCAUUGAAUGCUGUAAAAGUAAAAUAAGGUUUGCAAAAUGAAGGCACACCAUUUGAAGGAAGGCAGAUCUCCAGAGGAAGAUGGAGGGCAAGCAUCGGUUGUGCCAGUGGUGUUCAGCCUGCUGUGUUCAGUCUGGGGCAGGGAAGGCCUUGAGGACCCACGUCUGCAAACCUCAUGAGCGUUCUGAGAUUAUGGAGCCAGGUUCUUCACAGUACUGCCUGGGGGAAGGUAGGAGACAGUGGACAUGAAUCGAACCAAGGAAGAUUGAGACUGGAUAUAAGGAAAAACUUUUUACCCUGGAGGGCAGUCGGGCAGUGGAAGACAUCGUCCAGAGAGACUGUGCUGCCUCCUUCCUUGGAGGUUUUCAAGGCCUGACUGGAUCAAGCUCUGAACAACUCGCUCUGAUGGUGGCUUUGAGCAGGAGGUUGGACAAGAGACCUCCUGACAUCCCUUCCAACCUGAAUUAUUCCGUCGUUCUAUGAUUCUACACUCGCAGUGUGGACGCAAAAGUCUGGGAUGUGGAAAAUAUUGUAUUUCAAACCUCAGAGUUUGUGAGCAUUUUUGCUGUUUGCAACUCUCUCUGUAGCAGGUAGAAAACACGGUGCAGCAUGAUAGCUGGAAUAGCUUUCGUUAGUUUGUGGCUUCCACUGUUCAUAGUUUAAUGGAAACAUUUCUUCUUCCCCUUGCAGCUGCAAAAUAACAGUAAAUUACUUCAGUCAACUGAGACAUGCUGCUUCUGUGUGCUCCUAGGUAAAAUAUUUAUUACCUGUUAAAGCGAUUGAAGGCCACCCAUUCGUUGCCUUUUAGAAACCAGCAUAAAGAGAUAAGAAAAGGCAAAUAAAGUGCUCCCAUUUCACAAGUCUGGAAGUAGAGAUCUGUAAGUAAGAAAAGGUGGAAGAAGCUAGGAAAUGUUCCUGUUGGUGUGUUUCUAUGCUGUGGUACAGUAUACUAAAGGGAGAUGCAUGUAUAAGUGACAGCGAGGGAAAAAUAACCUGGCAGUGGAUUGGAAAGAAGCGGUAAGGUAAUUGGUGGUGUCCCAGGUAGGCUGUGACUUGUCUGCCCUAACAUUAUUA